rnacentral:rRNA from 1 species
GACGAACGCUGGCGGCAUGCCUAAUACAUGCAAGUCGAGCGAACAGAUGAAGUGCUUGCACUUCUGACGUUAGCGGCGAACGGGUGAGUAACACGUAAGGAAUCUACCUAUAAGCGGGGGAUAACAUUCGGAAACGGGUGCUAAUACCGCAUAAUAUCUUCUUCCGCAUGGAAGAAGAUUGAAAGACGGCUCUGCUGUCACUUAUAGAUGACCUUGCGGUGCAUUAGUUAGUUGGUGGGGUAACGGCCUACCAAGACGAUGAUGCAUAGCCGACCUGAGAGGGUGAUCGGCCACAUUGGGACUGAGACACGGCCCAAACUCCUACGGGAGGCAGCAGUAGGGAAUCUUCCGCAAUGGGCGAAAGCCUGACGGAGCAAUGCCGCGUGAGUGAAGAAGGCCUUCGGGUCGUAAAACUCUGUUAUAAGAGAAGAACAAAUUGUAGAGUAACUGCUACAGUCUUGACAGUAUCUUAUCAGAAAGCCACGGCUAACUACGUG